rnacentral:tRNA from 1 species
GGGCACUUGGCGCAGUGGUAGCGCGUCUGGUUUACAUCCAGCAGGUCGGGGGUUCGAAUCCCUCAGUGCCCACCA